rnacentral:tRNA from 1 species
CAGGGAGACAACAAAAUGUUUAAUAUUAUUAUUUUGUCACCUUAGGUCGAUCGGUACCUCACAUUCUUAAUUUAUUAAGGAUUUUAUUUCCUAAGUUUUUUCUAGGUCACACCCAUUACUUUUCCUGGGCCAUUAGCUCAGGUGGUUAGAGCGCACCCCUGAUAAGGGUGAGGUCCCUGGUUCAAGUCCAGGAUGGCCCAUUCGGUGUUGGGGGUUUAGCUCAGUUGGUAGAGCGCCUGCUUUGCAAGCAGGAUGUCAGCGGUUCGAGUCCGCUUACCUCCACUGAUUACCACCUCUUCCAUAACCGGUAGAAAGGAAAUGUUUUGAGUUGUGAUCAUUAUUCUGAACGAAUCUAGCUUCCUAAUGAAAUCAUUAAGAUGCUGGACUCAUUGAAUUAAUUUCAUUGUUUUCAGAGAACCUUGACAACUGCAUAGAUUUUUUUAAAGACAAUAAGCAUCUUUAAUGAUGCAGAUUUAUUAUUUGUGCUUAUGCAUUAAUAACAAUUCUAUUAAGCUGAUGCUUCAAUUUUUGAAGUUAUU